rnacentral:rRNA from 1 species
CCCUUCGGAACACAAUACCCUCGGGAAACUGAGGCUAAUAGUGUAUACCACAUCACCACUGGAAUGAGUGAUGUGCCAAACGCUCCGGCGCCGAAGGAUGUGGCUGCGGCCGAUUAGGUAGACGGUGGGGUAACGGCCCACCGUGCCAAUAAUCGGUACGGGUCAUGAGAGUGAGAACCCGGAGACGGAAUCUGAGACAAGAUUCCGGGCCCUACGGGGCGCAGCAGGCGCGAAACCUUUACACUGCACGACAGUGCGAUAGGGGGAUCCCAAGUGCACAGGCAUAGCGCCUGUGCUUUUCGGUACCGUAAGGUGGUACCAGAAUAAGGGCUGGGCAAGACCGGUGCCAGCCGCCGCGGUAAUACCGGCAGCCCAAGUGAUGGCCGAUCUUAUUGGGCCUAAAGCGUCCGUAGCUGGCCGCGCAAGUCCAUCGGGAAAUCCACCUGCUCAACAGGUGGGCGCCCGGUAGAAACUG